AUAUGAGCUUAUGUACGCGGACUGGCAGCUAUCUGUGCUUGGGCUGCCGUAGGCAUAACUUUGCGAGUUACCAUUUGUUGGUUCCUCUGAUAUUUCCUCAAAUGAUCGACAUGGCACAUGCUGCAGAUUCUAGAGCGCCAUGGAUCCUCACAAGGUGCCCGCCAGCCAACAAUGUAUCCAAGCAAGUGAUCUGUCAGUCUAUAAAUCUUAAAUCUAGGAUGAGUCUUGCAGAGGUUAACAAAAAGGUGGCAAACUCUUAGCAUGUGUUUCUACAGAUUUCCCUGGAGGCCAAUAGAGCAGCCGUCAUCAUCGUCUUCAUCUCCAGCCGGAUCUGUUCCGACAUGUCGGCUCCGAGAAUGAGUGUUUGGUUCUGAACCUUGACGGUGUUGUUGAUCUACAGCUUCUGUGAAAGGAGUAGUACGACCAUGCUUGCGUGGCAAAAUGCUAGACUGACAACGCCAAUACGAUUGUUCCCUUUUGCAG